rnacentral:rRNA from 1 species
GCAUUUUGUUUAUUUUAUUAAAUGUAACUCCUGCCCUAUGUUUUCAAUAAAUGGCCGCAGUAGCCUAACUGUGUUAAGGUAGCAUAAUUAUUUGUCACUUUAUUAAUGACUUGUUUGAAAGGAAUAAUGAGAGUAUCUAUGUUUUUUCUAUAUAAAAAGAAAUUUUGAACUUUGUAAAAACACAAAGAAAAAAAAAUAAGACGAGAAGACCCUGUCAAGGUUUACAAUAUUUUGUUGAAUGGGAAAUUCAAAAAUUUGAUGUAUUUUUUUGGAGCUUAAAAGAAUUAAAGGAAACACUUACUGCAGGGAUAACAGGGUUAUUUUUUUUGGAGUUUUUAUCGAAAAAAAUGUUUGCCACCUCGAUGUUGAAUCAAAAUUUCUUUUUGGUGUAGAGGCUAAAAUAAAAUGUCUGUUCGACAUUAAAAAUUUUACA